rnacentral:rRNA from 1 species
AGUGAACGCUGGCGGUAGGCCUAACACAUGCAAGUCGAACGACAGCACAGUAAGAGCUUGCUCUUACGGGUGGCGAGUGGCGGACGGGUGAGGAGUACAUCGGAAUCUACUUUUUCGUGGGGGCUAACGUAGGGAAACUUACGCUAAUACCGCAUACGUCCUACGGGUGAAAGCAGGGGAUCUUCUGACUUUGCGCGAUGGAAUGAGCCGAUGUCGGAUUAGCUAGUUGGCGGGGUAAAGGCCCACCAAGGCGACGAUCCGUAGCUGGUCUGAGAGGAUGAUCAGCCACCCUGGAACUGAGACACGGUCCAGACUCCUACGGGAGGCAGCAGUGGGGAAUAUUGGACAAUGGGCGCAAGCCUGAUCCAGCCAUGCCGCGUGAGUGAAGAAGGCCUUCGGGUUGUAAAGCCCUGUUGUUGGGAAAGAAAAGCAGCAGGUUAAUCCCCCGCUGUUCUGACGGUACCCAAAGAAUAAGCACCGGCUAACUUCGUG